rnacentral:piRNA from 1 species
UGGAAUUGUUAAGAUUUGUUUUAUGUGU